CCCAUGGACUAUUCUAAGCGUUGCUGUUAGCUCUUUGCAAGCCUUCGAGGUUUCGAGACCGCCGUGCCGAUAAGGAGCAGCGGCGGAGCUUAGCAAUGGCGGGCGGAGCACCGCCUUUGACCGGCGGUCCUCCGACGACCUCCUCUUCCUCCUCCGUCGCCUCCUCGUCGUCGGCGUCGGGCCUUCCUCCGCCUCCCCCUCCUCCCAAGAUCCUCCUCGCCAAGCCCGGAUCGGGCCCCGCCGCCCCGAGGUUCCCCCGCGACGACGACCCAUCUGCCUCCGUGGUCCUCCGGUCCCGUAACGCCCCUCAGCCGAGCUCACUCAACCUUAUCUCGGACUCCUGGGAGUUCCACACCGAUCGGAUCCUCCCGUUUCUGACUGAGAAUAAUGAUUUCACUGUUGUUGGAAUCAUUGGUCCUGCUGGUGUUGGCAAGUCGACGAUCAUGAAUGACCUUUAUGGUUUUGAUGGUAGCUCGCCUGGGAUGCUACCACCUUUUGCUACACAGUCCGAUGAAAUUAGAGCAAUGGCAAAGCACUGCACCACUGGUAUUGAAUUGAGGGUUUCUGCUGAGCGGCUCAUACUUCUUGAUGCCCAGCCAAUAUUUUGCCCCUCUCUUUUAGUUGAUCUGAUGAGACCUGAUGGUUCAUCUACAAUUCCUUUGCUGAAUGGUGAGUCACUGUCGGCAGAUUUGGCUCAUGAGUUGAUGGGAAUUCAGCUUGGUGUUUUCCUGGCAUCCAUUUGUAAUGUUUUGUUGGUUGUGUCUGAGGGAAUUCAUGACUUUAGCGUGUGGCAGCUGAUGCUUGCGGUUGAUUUGUUAAAGCAUGGCAUUCCAGAUCCAUCUUUGUUGACAUCUUCGCAUUCCCAGGGUUCUGAUUCUGUGCCAGAUAAGGAAAAUAAAAGCAUUGUUCAGCCUACUAGUGUGGAGUUCCUGUCUGCCAUUGUUUUCAUACAUACCAAACUACGAGAUCAAGACUUAUCCCCCUCCAAGAAAAUACUAUUGAGGAAGGCUCUAAUGCAAUUUUUCAGCUCAUCCUCUUUAAAUGUAAAGAAUCACGGGGCUGCAGUACAGACUGAUUCUUUCAAUUCUCUUGAUGCAAAAGCUGAGGAUUUGGAUCCUGUGCAACCAGACUUGUUUAUGGUUCCUUUAAAAGGGCAAGACCACCUACAGAAAUCUCAUUCUGAAAGUUACAGUUCCAUGUCAGGGAAGCUCCGUGACCAGUAGCAGCCACAACCACCAAAGCAACAACAGGGAAGAAGAAGACAAAGAAGGGAAGAGGAGGAAGGAGAAAGAAAGAAAGAGGAAGAGAGAGGGAAAGAUAUUGUCAAUGACUGGUCAUUCAUUUGCAAAGAGUAUCUCAGAGCGUGAUUGGUUGCGGAAUUCAGCUAAGAUUUGGGAAUUGGUGAAGAAAUCUCCAAUCAUUGUUGAAUAUUUCAGGACACUGCAGAGUUCAGGAUUGUUCAGGAAGUAAUCAAUCUUAUGUUUUAAGAGCUUAAAGACUUCGUAAGUUACCUGUCUGGGACAAGUGAAGGUAUCGCAUAACAUUUUUGCGCCAGUUCCCAGUUCCCAGUUGAUUCUACCAUUAAGCAUCUCUUUUUUUAAAAAAAAAUUGAUUUCCAACUAUGCUUAAUACUUAGCAUUUUUUUAUUAUUUAAUUCAAAUCAAGUGCAGCCUAUGAGAUCCAACUCCCUCAAGUGAAACCUAUGUGAAAGCAUCACCCAGCCGACGCACUGCAGUGUAAUUUGUUUCACAUGAUCUACAAAUCAGCUAUGAAGGACUUCAGAUGGUAUUAUGAAGAACAAGAGUUGGGUUCCAGGAUAUCUAUCUCACCCUUUCUUGUGUUGUUGGCAUCCAAGCUGGGUCUUACCACAAUGUUGCGAAAUGUCUUGGCAAAGUAGCUUAGCUUUUAGUCAACAUAUGAUUUUAAUCCAAGAUCUGAACUGAUGUCAUGCUGGGAAGAAGAACAACACCGAUCUGUACGGACCAGAGCUUAUGUCUCAUGUACGUUUAAGCUGGAUUUAUGUAGAUAGAGAACCAUGAGGCUUUAAAUAAUUUUCAGGAUAAUUCUAUAAGUAUGAUUCGUUGUUCA